UUUUUUUUUGCAAAUAAGAAAAAAUAUUUUAAAAAAUAGAAAUAAGGUAAGUACCUGCUCCAUUCCGUUUGAUUUUCUGGGUUUUCACAUGAGCCACAUAAACGUGAUAUCACCUGUGAUUCUAAAGGUCCAAGUGUUCAGAAAUAGAUUAUGAUUACGGCUCACAUGUUUAACAAAAAUUUGAAAGGCAGAUUUUGGAAAGGUAAAGAUCAAAUAAUCUCCUUCCGCCUCGGCCUCCCAAAGUGCUGGGAUUAUAGGCGUGAGCCACCACGCCCAGGAAUUUCUUUUUUUUUUUAAAACUUAACUUGGUGCUCUUGAGAUGGAGUCUUGCUAUGUUGCCCAGGCUGGAUUCACACUCCUGAGUUCAAGCAAUCCUCCCACCUCAGCCUCCCAAGUAGCUUGGAUAACAGGCAUACACCACUGUGCCUGGCCCAGCUGCUGUUUUUUCUUUUUCAGUAACCAGAAUCCAAUCAAGGUUCACACAUUUCAUUUCAUUAUUAUGUCAAGACAUGCUUUUCUGUUGUUGUUUUCGACACAGGAUCUCACUCUGUUAACCAGGCUGGAGCACAGGGGCGCUAUCAUAGCUCACUGCAGCCUCAACCUCCUGGGCUCAAACAAUCCUCCCUCUUCAGCCUCCCAAGCAUCUGGGACUAUAUGUUCACACAUCCAUACCAGGCUUAUUUUUAAGAUUUUUCUUUUUGUGAAGAUGGGACUUUGUUAUGUUGCCCACGCUGGUCUCAAAACUCCUGGUCUCAAGCCACCCUCCCGCCUCAGUCUCCCAAAGUACAGGGAUUACAGGUGUGAGCCACUGCACCUAGCCAAGACAUGUACUUUCACAGGGACAGCACACUGGUUAAGACCAGGGCUCCAGAAUUAGUCAUGGAGGUUUGAGUUCUGCAUCUUACCAAGCAUGUGAUAUUGGGCACUUAGCUUAAGUUCUUAGGAGCUGACUGGGCAAGGUGGCUCAUGCCUAUGGCCCCUAGCAUGUUGAGACACCAAGGCAGGAGGAUUGUUUGGUGCCUGGAGUACGGGACUAGCCUGGGCAACAUGGUGAGUCUCUGUCUCUACAAAAGAUUAGAACAUUAGCUAGGUGUGGUGACGUGCACCUGUAGUAGCAGCUACUUUGGAGGCUGAGGUGGGGAAGUUUUAGUUUCCCUUUUACAGAAAUUUUCUUUCCUUUUGUUUUGUUUUGUUUUGUUUUGAGAUAGAGUUUCACUCUUGUCGCUCAGGCUGGUGUGCAAUGGCGUGAUCUUGGCUCAGUGCAACCUCUGCCUCCCAGAUUCAAGUCAUUCUCCUGCCUCAGCCUCCCAAGUAGCUGAGAUUACAGGCGUCAGCCACCAUGCCUGGCUAAUUUUUGCAUUUUUAGUAGAGACAGCGUUUCACCAUGUUGGCCAGGCUGGUCUUGAACUCCUGACCUCAAGUGAUCUGCCCACCUCAGCCUCCCAAAGUGCUGGGAUUACAGGCGUGAGCCACUGUGCCCAGCCAGAGAUUUUCUAUUAAAUAAAAUAAUGCAUGUAAUGCUCUUUAUACAAUGUUGUCUCUACAAAGCACUAAGCAAAUGUUAGUCAUUUUUUGUCUAAAUCAGAUUUAUUAAGGCAUUAUUAACAUACAUAAUCAUUUUUGUUUGUUUUUUGUUUGUAAAGACAGAGUCUCACUAUAGGCUGGUCUUGAACUCCUGGUCUCAAGUGAUUCUUCUGCCUCGGCUUCCCAAAGUGCUGGGAUUACAGGCAAGAGCCACCAUGCCAGACCCAUUGUUUUAAUAAUAUAUUAAAAAUAUGUUCUCAGCCCAUAUAAUGCUCUAAUGACUGUUAAAGCAAUUUAUAUAAGCAUAGCCCUGUAAAUAAGUUAUAUUUAAAAAGUAUCUGACACUUCAUUUUUGUAUGACUAAAGAUCUUUUGGUGAAGAUUCUUGCGUUUAUUUACUUAUGAGGAGUAAGGAGAGGAGGAGAGAAGCUGUUUUCCUAGUGUUGGGGCUCAGAAGAUAAUAUCGGCUAGGCGCAGUGGCUCACACCUGUAAUCCCAGCACUUUGGGGGGCCAAGGCGGGCGAAUCACCUGACAUUAAGACUUCAAGACCAGCCUGGCCAACAGACGAAACCCCAUUUCUACUAAAAAUACAAAAAUUAGCCAGGCAUGGUGGCAUGCGCCUGUAAUCCCAGCUACUCAGGAGGCUGAGGCAGGAGAAUGGUUUGAACCCAGAAGCGGAGAUUGCACCACUGCACUCCAGCCUGGGCAACAGAGCAAGACACUUUUCAGAUUUAAAAGUUUAAAAAUGCAACUAGCCUGGCCAAAAUGGUGAAACCCCGUCUCUAUCAAAAAUACAAAAAUUAACCAGGUGUGGUGGUGCGUGCCUGUAGUUUCAGCCACUCAGGAGGCUGAGGCACAAGAAUUUCUUGAACCUGGGAGGCAGAGGUUGCAGUGAGCC
rnacentral:lncRNA from 1 species